AAUCUUCCGCAAUGGACGAAAGUCUGACGGAGCAACGCCGCGUGAGUGAUGAAGGUUUUCGGAUCGUAAAACUCUGUUGUUAGGGAAGAACAAGUACCGUUCGAAUAGGGCGGCACCUUGACGGUACCUAACCAGAAAGCCACGGCUAACUACGUGCCAGCAGCCGCGGUAAUACGUAGGUGGCAAGCGUUGUCCGGAAUUAUUGGGCGUAAAGCGCGCGCAGGCGGUUUCUUAAGUCUGAUGUGAAAGCCCCCGGCUCAACCGGGGAGGGUCAUUGGAAACUGGGGAACUUGAGUGCAGAAGAGGAGAGUGGAAUUCCACGUGUAGCGGUGAAAUGCGUAGAGAUGUGGAGGAACACCAGUGGCGAAGGCGACUCUCUGGUCUGUAACUGACGCUGAGGCGCGAAAGCGUGGGGAGCGAACAGGAUUAGAUACCCUGGUAGUCCACGCCGUAAACGAUGAGUGCUAAGUGUUAGAGGGUUUCCGCCCUUUAGUGCUGCAGCAAACGCAUUAAGCACUCCGCCUGGGGAGUACGGUCGCAAGACUGAAACUCAAAGGAAUUGACGGGGGCCCGCACAAGCGGUGGAGCAUGUGGUUUAAUUCGAAGCAACGCGAAGAACCUUACCAGGUCUUGACAUCCUCUGACAACCCUAGAGAUAGGGCUUCCCCUUCGGGGGCAGAGUGACAGGUGGUGCA
rnacentral:rRNA from 1 species